CCACGCAAUAUUUUAUGUGCAAGCAAUAUCUAUGCAGGCUAUUGCUUAGAUAUUGAUUUAACAAAAUCAUUAUCGAUGCAUUUAGCCUUAAACGUUCAUAGAAUUUUGAAAAAUAUUUAAAAUACCGCCAAAAGGUCCUGGAUAGAAUUAAGCGCCUAUGGGUAGGAGAAUACAUACUCACGUAAAUAUAUAACAAGAAUAUAGAUAUAGAUGAAUUUAUCGCAGAAAUUAAAAUAAAAGUCUCAAAUAUAAGAAGGAGGUCGAUUUCAGUUUAUGCACAAUUACAGUUGUCUUUUUUCAUAGUUUGCAGAUAUGGACGGUUGCAGCUCGGAUAUUGUUUGUAGAUGAUGUUGGAAAACAUUUCGUUCACGGACAAGUCUUAAUGACCACAUAUGAGCUGGCUACUCGGCACAGGACCUUGUAAACGUUGUGGCAAAUCCAACUGCCAUAGAUCCUGGUCCUGGAUGAAAUUGAGAGUAUUGUAGCUGUAGCUUGUAUACCAUACAUUUAACAUGGAUAGGACUGUCAGAAGCAGUAAGAGACAGCCAAAGAAGUAUUCAAACACCAUCAUGAAACAUUUAAGACAUACCAGGAGAGAUCUAGAAGAGUAGUUGGUAGAAGAGUGGAACAGUUUGUAGCUUAAUUGUAACUAAAAGGACUUCUUAAAUACUUGAACUGUAUAUUUGAAAUAAAAUACCUGAAGUAUUUAAUAGUGUCUUUUUUUGUUAAACAGUUAAAUUCUGUUACUUUGCUUUAUAUUUAUAUUAAAGUAUGUUGAAGUGACAUUGGAACUUUAACGUUGUGCCAACGUUGAAUUUCAACGUUGU